CGAAGGUGGCAAGCGUUACUCGGAAUUACUAGGCGUAAAGGGCAGGUAGGUGGUUCAGUAAGUCUGUUGUGGAAGCUCUCGGCUUAACCGGGAGAGGCCAACGGAAACUACUGGACUUGAGUGUAGGAGAGGGUACUGGAAUUCCCGGUGUAGCGGUGAAAUGCGCAGAGAUCGGGAGGAACACCAAUGGCGAAAGCAGGUACCUGGACUAUUACUGACACUAAGCUGCGAAAGCUAGGGGAGCAAACAGGAUUAGAUACCCUGGUAGUCCUAGCUGUAAACGAUGCACAUUAGACGUGAGGGGUAUCGACCCCCUUCGUGUCGACGCAAACGCAUUAAAUGUGCCGCCUGGGGAGUACGGCCGCAAGGUUG
rnacentral:rRNA from 1 species